GAUAAACGCUGGCGGCGUGCCUAAUACAUGCAAGUCGAACGAGGGGUUCUUGUAGCAAUACGAGGACUUCCUAGUGGCGAAUGGGUGAGUAACGCGUUGGUGACCUGCCCCAAAGAGAGGAAUAACUCCGGGAAACUGGAGCUAAUACCUCAUGUGGUUGCGAGAGUUAAAGGUCUCGCAUCUAAAGGAGAAAUCCACUUUGGGAGGGGCCUGCGUCCCAUCAGCUAGUUGGUAGGGUAAUGGCCUACCAAGGCUACGACGGGUAGGGGGCCUGAGAGGGUGGCCCCCCACACUGGCACUGAAACACGGGCCAGACACCUACGGGAGGCUG
rnacentral:rRNA from 1 species